GAACGAGGUGCUUGCACCUAAUGGCGAACGGGUGAGUAACACGUGAGCAACCUNGCCCUUGGGCUCUGGGUAUAGCCUCCGGAAACGGGGAUUAAUACCGGACAGGACCCUGGUCUGCAUGGACCGGGGUGGAAAGUUUUUCGGCCAGGGAGGGGCUCGCGGCCUAUCAGCUUGUUGGAGGGGUAACGGCCCACCAAGGCGACGAUCAGUAGCUGGUCUGAGAGGAUGAUCAGCCUCACUGGGACUGAGACACGGCCCAUACUCCUACGGGAGGCAGCAGUGGGGAAUAUUGGACAAUGGGCGCAAGCCUGAUCCAGCCAUGCCGCGUGGGUGAUGAAGGCCCUAGGGUUGUAAAGCCCUUUCGGCGGGGAAGAUAAUGACGGUACCCGCAGAAGAAGCCCCGGCUAACUUCGUGCCAGCAGCCGCGGUAAU
rnacentral:rRNA from 1 species